rnacentral:rRNA from 1 species
AGUGAACGCUGGCGGUAGGCCUAACACAUGCAAGUCGAACGGCAGCACAGUAAGAGCUUGCUCUUACGGGUGGCGAGUGGCGGACGGGUGAGGAAUACAUCGGAAUCUACUUUUUCGUGGGGGAUAACGUAGGGAAACUUACGCUAAUACCGCAUACGACCUACGGGUGAAAGCAGGGGAUCUUCGGACCUUGCGCGAUUGAAUGAGCCGAUGUCGGAUUAGCUAGUUGGCGGGGUAAAGGCCCACCAAGGCGACGAUCCGUAGCUGGUCUGAGAGGAUGAUCAGCCACACUGGAACUGAGGCACGGUCCAGACUCCUACGGGAGGCAGCAGUGGGGAAUAUUGGACAAUGGGCGCAAGCCUGAUCCAGCCAUACCGCGUGGGUGAAGAAGGCCUUCGGGUUGUAAAGCCCUUUUGUCGGGAAAGAAAAGCAGCAGGUUAAUACCCCGCUGUUCUGACGGUACCCAAAGAAUAAGCACCGGCUAACUUCGU